GUGGUGGUGGUGGAGGUGGCUCAAUACAUGGAGGAGGUGACGGUGGUGGUGGUGAGUGAACUGGAGGAGGUGGGGAAUAAACAGGAGGUGGCGGCGGCGGUGGAGAUAAGUAUGGAUAAAUUGGUGGAGGAGGUGAAUGUGGUGGUGGUGGUGGAGAAUGUACCGGAGGUGGCGGUGAAUGGUGUGGCGGUGGCGGGGAGUUAUAGUAGUAAGGAACUGGUGGAGGUGGGGAAAACAAUGGAGGUGGUGGAGGGGGUGAAUUUGGUGGUGGAGGAGGUGGAGACCUCACACAGUAUACUGGUGAAGGUGGUGGAGGAGAUGGUGGAGGUGGUGAUGGAUAAGUAGGUGGCGGGGGUGAUGGUGGAGGUGGGGAUGGAGGUGGUGGUGGUGGAGAGUAAACUGGUGGAGGUGGUGAAGGUGGUGGAGGUGAGGGGGGUGGUGGUGGAGGUGAAUACACAGGUGGCGGGGGCGAUGGUGGAGGCGGAGGAGGAGAGUACACAGGUGGCGGCGGAGGUGGAGGUGGUGAAGGGGGAGGGGGAGAGUAUACUGGCGGUGGCGGCGGCGGAGGUGGUGAUUGUGGAAUAAAAACAGGCGAUGGGGGUGGCGGUGACAGCACAACAACCGGCGGCGGAGAAGGCGGAGGAGGAGACGGCAAAGAAGGAACAAAAGGAGCACAUCUAAAUGAAUUACAAUCCACCGGUCUAGACAAGAAAGACCUACAUUGAGCAGCACUCCGUUGUAAAGGCCUCGCCGGCAAACAGUUCCUCCUAUCGUCAAAAGCACGUAACCCC
rnacentral:lncRNA from 1 species